UCCUUACACACACCCAAGAACCAUUCGCCUAGGCCUCUUAUUUCUACCUGCCAAAAAUGCCUGCCAGCAUCAAAUCCCUCACAACUCAGGACAGCUGGUUUAAGGAAACUGGAAAGUAAACACAUUGACAUGUUGAUGAUUUCUCCCUACCUGAACCAUCCAGAAUUCAGAAACUCUCAGAAGAGGCAUUGUGGUUGCAUGGGUACAUAGAAGAAGCCAUGUGAAGACACAGGCAUAAGCAGGCCAUUGGCAAGCCAAAGAGAGAGGCCUCUGAAGCAAACGAACCCACGACACCUUGAUUUGGACUCCUGGCCUCCAGAACUGGGAGAAAGUAAAGGUCUGUGGUAUUUUGUCUGACCGCCUUGAUGAUUAAUACAGGCAUCACCACUCUUUUGAAUACUGCUUAGCUGAAUGGUGUGAAUGCUAUCACACUGUAAUUUUAUCUUAUUUUUAUUUAUUAUUUUUUAAGUAAAAUAGCUAUUGAUUCGGCCCCUUGUCAUGCCAAAAUGUUUUGUACAUAUACCACUAUAAGGAGCAUGUCCUCUGUAACAGGUAAAAUUGUACAUCAAAUUAUAUUUCAUGUUACCUGAUUAUAUAAAAAAUGUAAAGCGAAAAAGAUCUAUCAAUUCCUUUUAACGUUACUAGUAAACAAUUCAGCAGUGGAAAUGAAGCACAAAAUCUUAGUAAAAGAUGACACAGGGAGAGGGGUGCCUGGGUGGCUCAGUCGGUUAAGUGUCCGACUUCAGCUCAGGUCAUGAUCUCACGGUCAGUGAGUUCCAGCCCCGUGUUGGGCUCUGUGCCGACAGCUCAGAGCCUGGAGCC